GCUCUCUUCGACAGAACCUAUACUAAAAUUGGAAUGAUACAGAGAAGAUUACCAUGGCUCCUGCGCAAGGAUGACAUGUAAAUUCGUGAAGCAUUCCAUAUUUUU